rfam:Triticum aestivum genome assembly, contig: Triticum_aestivum_CS42_TGACv1_scaffold_031662_1BL
AUAGUACUUCCUCCGUCUGGAAUUACUUGUCGCUCAAACGGAUGUAUCUAGACGUAUUUCAGUGCUAGAUACAUCCGUUUGAGUGACAAGUGAUUCCGGACGGAGGGAGUAUGAU